GGACCCGCACAAGUAGUGGAGCAUGUGGUUUAAUUCGAAGAUACGCGCAGAACCUUACCAACACUUGACAUGUUCGUCGCGACUUUAAGAGAUUAAAGUUUUCGGUUCGGCCGGACGAAACACAGGUGCUGCAUGGCUGUCGUCAGCUCGUGUCGUGAGAUGUUGGGUUAAGUCCCGCAACGAGCGCAACCCUUACUUUUAGUUGCCAUCAUUAAGUUGGGCACUCUGAAAGAACUGCCAGUGAUAAGCUGGAGGAAGGUGGGGAUGACGUCAAGUCCUCAUGGCCCUUACGUGUUGGGCUACACACGUGCUACAAUGGUAUCUACAACAGGAAGCAAGACGGCGACGUCAAGCAAAUCCUUAAAAGAUACCUCAGUUCGGAUUGCACUCUGCAACUCGAGUGCAUGAAGCUGGAAUUACUAGUAAUCGU
rnacentral:rRNA from 1 species